AACAAGGAUUCUCGUCAACAACCUUCCAUUUCAACAGAAUUGCAUAAGCUCAUGAUUGCUUCCUUUAAAGUGUCAAGAUAAUUUGAUAUUAAUUCCAAGUUGUCUGUCUCUUUUGAUUGCAGAAUUAAUUGGAAUAGUGCUUGGAAAUACAGUGCAUCCUAGCUAGCUUUAUCCCAAUUUGAUUACCAAAGUCCAGUUCACAUUCAAUCAUUCAUGUGUGGUGUCUGAUCAAAUCCUGUAACAUUCAUGCGUUAUUUUCAAAGAAUUAGGUUGGAUAACACCACAUUAUAAGAGAUGUAUGUGCUAAGUAACGGAUGAAUUCCCAAAUGAAUUUAUACGAAAUUUCAUAAUGCUACAACAGCGUGAGAUGCAAUUCUAAGGAAGCACGAUGCAAUCUUCCUCAAGAAUAUCAUACGGAUUUUUUCCUACUUCGGCCCGCCGUUACGUGUUGUCGCAAUUGAGUAGUGUUAGAGGGAUUGUCAAGAGAAUCGGCUUAGGUUCCGAUAGACAGGUGGAGAGUCCUCCAAGUAAGUUAUCAGCUCAGCAAAAGGUGUUGGUGCGCUACAUUUGCUCCGGAGUGCCUAUUUGGAUCUGAGGUACGUGCAUCUGGAUAUCAGUCCGGCGCGCAUCCUUGAUUUCACGAGACUUUGCGGAUUUGAGGGAGUUGCAUCUGGUCACCAGUCCGGCACGCAACUCUGAUACCCAUUUGGAGACUUCACGGUGAGCUGCCUCCUGAGCCGUUCUGCAGCAGCUGGAGUCUUCUUUAUGUUUUAUUUUUCUGUCUAUUUCUUUUCAGACAGUUGACUAAUAUUCUUUUGUAUAUUCUACUAGAUUGGCCUCAUACUUGUGACACUAGGUCUUGGCACACACGCUAGUAGACUUAUGAUUUUGGUAUUGUUUACAUGACUACGGCUUGUACUUGUUGCUUCCAUUUAAUUUUGUCAUUGGUAAUUUCUAAAUCUUUUUAACAAAUGUAAAAUUGUA